UUAUUCCUGUCCUUUGUUUACUGUCUUUUAACCAGUUACUGAUUCAUGAGAGGACCUGCCCUCUUAACCCAUGACUGCUUACUUUGCCUAAGAGCCUUUGGAGAGGGACCUUGUCAAAGGCUUUCUGAAAAUACAAGUAUGCUAUAUCCACUAGUUCAUUCCCUUCC